rnacentral:tRNA from 2 species
AGCUCGGUAGCUCAAUUGGUAGAGCAGCGGUCUCCAAAGCCGCCGGUUCGGGGUUCGAGUCCCUGUCGGGUUGCCA